rnacentral:lncRNA from 1 species
GCAUUUUUGAGAAAGUGAAGAAUGGAGUUGAAGAUAAGGGUCGUAGACUCAAGAAAAGAGAAGAAAAUUGAAGAAUUGAAGAGUCGACGCACCGCUCGGUGGCAAAUUCCACUGCCGGGCGGUCCAGGGCAAGGAGUAGGCACCUAGCGUGGGCACUGGGCGAAUUUGCGAUUAAAGGCAAACCGCCGGGCGGUAGACCCUUGCUGCCGGGCGGUAGUGCGAUUUGAGGGAAACCGCCGGGCGGAACAAGUGUGGUGCCGAGCGGUUGUCUGCUGGGCUUGGACCUGUUUUCUGUUGCGCUUCUCACCUAUAAAUAGCCCUAUUGCGAGUUUAGAUGGAUUCUUUUGACAGAAGGGGGCGACCAGACCUAGUUUCACUCUCUGGAGAGGAUCUCUUGGAUGCUUAGGCUCCUUUUCAUCUUNUCUAGGGUUUGCUUUUCCAUUCUUCAUCCAUUUUUCAUCUAGUUUCACCAUGACAAUGGUUUACUAAACCCUGUUGUUGUUGGGGGAAACAAUGUAAUCUUUUGAUACUCUCUUUUAUUGAAACUCUUGUUUAUUUAUAUGGUUUCCAUAUGCUUUGAUUGUUAAUUGUUGGGUUCUCAUCUGUGCUUAAUGCUUUUAUCGUUUAACUCAUUCGAUAACUGUUGUUUGUCUUUAUUGAUACGGAGACGUACAGUAAUGUCAUGAACUGGUGAGUAAUUCCUUGAUUAAGCAAUACCACCUAGGGAUAGGGGUAGGAAGAUCAAUUGUUUUUCACUUCUGCUCUAUAAUUCUUUAUUAAUUGCUAGGGGAGGCUAGGGAUAGCAAGCCAGUAAUUAGUAAUAGGCUCUUUUCACCGAGGGAUCGGGUUAAGGGUAGGCUAAGAAAGUUGCAUGACAAUUAAUUAAUCAAGCUAAUAAUUCAAGAGGAGUAAAUAAGAGAGAGCGGAUAAGAUGAAAUUGUAAACCCCCAACAACUUCAUUCAUCCAUUGUUUUCUUCUCGUCGAUUGAAUCAAUCUCUUUUGCAUGUUUAUAUUUUGUUCUCACACCCAAUUAAUUAAUUUUUAUUUUCAAGUCUUACGAUCUUAAUUCACACGAACGAUAAGGCCUUUUGAGUCUCUUGGGAAAACGAUACUUGGACUUACCAUUUAUUAUUACUUGAUACGAUUUAGUAUGCUUGCCAAUCCGUUAACAGAGGAUGAUACUUGUUGUUGAAUGUAAAAACUAAACUCUAAGUGUUUUAACUGUCUAUUGAUAAUAUACUCUUUGGUUCCUUGCUUUACAUAUAUAUGUUGUUGUUAAUGAGAAAAAAAAAUACUAUUGUUUUCUCUGCCUCACGUCUUAUACGCUUUG